rnacentral:rRNA from 1 species
UGCUCUUCUUGGAUGAGUUGCGAACGGGUGAGUAACGCGUAGGUAACCUGCCUUGUAGCGGGGGAUAACUAUUGGAAACGAUAGCUAAUACCGCAUAACAAUGGAUGACACAUGUCAUUUAUUUGAAAGGGGCAAUUGCUCCACUACAAGAUGGACCUGCGUUGUAUUAGCUAGUAGGUGAGGUAACGGCUCACCUAGGCGACGAUACAUAGCCGACCUGAGAGGGUGAUCGGCCACACUGGGACUGAGACACGGCCCAGACUCCUACGGGAGGCAGCAGUAGGGAAUCUUCGGCAAUGGGGGCAACCCUGACCGAGCAACGCCGCGUGAGUGAAGAAGGUUUUCGGAUCGUAAAGCUCUGUUGUAAGUCAAGAACGAGUGUGAGAGUGGAAAGUUCACACUGUGACGGUAGCUUACCAGAAAGGAACGGCUAACUACGUGCCAGCAGCCGCGGUAAUACGUAGGUCCCGAGCGUUGUCCGGAUUUAUUGGGCGUAAAGCGAGCGCAGGCGGUUUGAUAAGUCUGAAGUUAAAGGCUGUGGCUCAACCAUAGUUCGCUUUGGAAACUGUCAAACUUGAGUGCAGAAGGGGAGAGUGGAGUUCCAUGUGUAGCGGUGAAAUGCGUAGAUAUAUGGAGGAACACCGGUGGCGAAAGCGGCU